GUGUUGGAAGAUAUCACUUUUCACUGAUUUAUCGAUUUUUCUUCUUGAGUAGAUAAUUAGAUGCUAUUAAUGUACGCUUUUCCACUAACUUCGAGGUUAAUUCCUUCCGAUAUUCUCAAAAAGGAAAGAUGGCCGUCAACGUUUUACUUCGCACCGAAAGAAACACACUCUUGCAAUAGCAAUGACAGUUUCGACACUUUUCGGGUGAUAUCUACGUUUUUAUUUACCUAUGGGGUAGUCCAUGGUUGCUACGGUUCACUGCAUGAUUCUGAUUUUCUUCAGUCCACAUGCAGCAGGCGGCGAACAACAUCCAGGUCAGAUUGUACCGAAGGUUCUUUGCGGAAUAGGCUAGGCGAAUAGUUAAUUAAUGAUGAUGAGCGUAUGAGGUAUAAAACACGGAAAGCCAUAAAAUACAUGCAGACAAUAUAUCUACGUAUGUACAUUGCAAACAUAUUUAGGUUUAUUCCUAUCAUAUAAAAAGGCCUAUUACGACAAUAGUAGUAGCCAGGCAUUAUAUGCUAGUAAGCAUUUACAUUGGGUUCAUUGAAUUCUGGUACAAAAAGAAUAAGUUAAUAUAGAGCAACAGUCGGCACACGUAAUAAUAACUUUUAGAAUUCUGAGUCAAGCCUUUGGGGAUGGCGCCACCAUACACUUCACCUAGCCUAUGAUGUGAUACGACCCCGCAGAGUGGUUACGUGCGGCAAACGAAUUCUCCUAUGGUCGCAUCAGGAGUGAGAGUAAAAGCGUCUCGCGAGCAAGCCCCCAGAACGCUUGAACGUUGGCGGGCGCGCGCGUGUGGGAAACAAAACAUUAAUAUCAAACAAACGCGGCUGCUGUUAGUAGCUGUAGUUUGUGCGAGUAAACUAAGCUGUUUGUGAUAGUGAUAUGCCAAUACUAUAAAGAUCGCGUCUAGCUGGCUAUGUAUUAAAGGUCCAAUCUGUAAGUUAUGUAACUGGAAAGGAUCUGAAUGGUCGCCAUUUUGUUUUAGCGGCCACCAUAUUGGAUUUUGAUCGUCGCCCAUAUUGAUGCUACAUCAGUACUUCUAUUAAUACUGCUGACAUAUUGUAAGGGAGUACAAUUAAUCAUAUCGAACUAUGCAUAGAUUAGUAUAUUCUUCCAUAAUUAGUUAUAAUUACUGUCAGUUUCAUAAAAUUGUUAUCAUUUUGAAGCGUUUUCAACAAAAAGUAAAGCGUUUGCCAGAAUCAACAUGACGUGCGCAGUUGGUAGACGACACUCACAGUGCGGGUCAACUCUUACGACAGAAAAAUGAAAAUGGCGACCGCCAUGCCGCAGAACACGCCAACAAUUUCAUCCCCAAGAAUGCGGUGAACUUUGAUUGCAGUUACGGAAAA